rnacentral:misc_RNA from 1 species
GUAUUUAGUUUCUGCCAAAUGGCAAGAUACAAUUAACAUUCAUUAUAACUCAGAGUUUAUAAAUUGUUGUCAGCAGACGAAGACUCACGAAUGAGCCACAUCUAGCCGACGGUGCACAGGUGUAUAUGGAUGUUGGUGUAUUGUAGUGAGGGUUACCACAGAGUGGAAAACCCAUACAAAAUUCACUAAUGAUCCUUCUGCAGGUUCACCUACAGAAA